AACGCUGGCGGCGUGCCUAAUACAUGCAAGUCGAACGAACCGCGACUGAGUGCUUGCACUUGGUCAAGGUGAGUGGCGAACGGGUGAGUAACACGUGGGUAACCUACCUCAUAGUGGGGGAUAACAGUCGGAAACGACUGCUAAUACCGCAUAGGACAUGGAAUCACAUGAUUCUGUGAGGAAAGGUGGCGCAAGCUAUCGCUAAGAGAUGGACCCGCGGUGCAUUAGCUAGUUGGUAGGGUAAGGGCCUACCAAGGCGAUGAUGCAUAGCCGACCUGAGAGGGUGAUCGGCCACAUUGGGACUGAGACACGGCCCAAACUCCUACGGGAGGCAGCAGUAGGGAAUCUUCCGCAAUGGACGCAAGUCUGACGGAGCAACGCCGCGUGAGUGAAGAAGGUCUUCGGAUCGUAAAGCUCUGUUGUUAGAGAAGAACAGCGCAUAGAGUAACUGUUAUGCGUGUGACGGUAUCUAACCAGAAAGCCACGGCUAACUACGUGCCAGCAGCCGCGGUAAUACGUAGGUGGCGAGCGUUGUCCGGAUUUAUUGGGCGUAAAGGGAGUGUAGGCGGUCUUUUAAGUCUGAUGUGAAAGCCCACGGCUCAACCGUGGAGGGUCAUUGGAAACUGGGAGACUUGAGUGCAGAAGAGGAGAGCGGAAUUCCAUGUGUAGCGGUGAAAUGCGUAGAUAUAUGGAGGAACACCAGUGGCGAAGGCGGCUCUCUGGUCUGUAACUGACGCUGAGGCUCGAAAGCGUGGGGAGCAAACAGGAUUAGAUACCCUGGUAGUCCACGCCGUAAACGAUG
rnacentral:rRNA from 1 species